AACAGAAACAGGAGAAGCUGAAGGGGGAGGGCUACAUCCAGCCCAGGCUCUGUGGUUACUCCUAGAGGAAGAAUGACCUAACAGAGAUUCAUGGGAGGUAGACAGGAACAUCGGCAAGCUUCUUUGAGAAUAUGAGGCUCAAACCUCGAGGGACUGUGCUCAGAGGCUGGGGGGAGGGGGUGUUAAGGAGCUGGCAGAGCCAUGGGAGCCCAGGGCCAGGCAUCUCACCACCAGGAGGGACGUGCUACAAGGGCUCCAGCCCUGAUACAGGGCAAACAAGCACAGAACAAGCUGGCGUGUACUCUGGUACCUACAGGACAGUAGUGCUACAAGUAUCUCUUUGGGUCUAGGUCCCAGAGGCCACAAUCAACCCCAAAGGCUUCAGAAAACACCAUGUUCCCUUCAGCAAGUAAAAUAAGACUCAUGGUGUACACCCAUUGUACUUGAAGCUAUUACAUAAAGGCCAUUUUCCUACAGAUCUAUAUUGUAUAUUACGUAGAUUCCUCCCGUGGCUCCCUACCCUCUCCCAUUUUUCCUUUUGAAAACUAGCUUCUGUUUUUCCCCCAGGUGCUGGAUGACUCUGAAAGCACAGCCAUUGUGCUUUUAGACCUGGCCUGAGAGUUCACACAACACAGCAAGUACGCUUGGAUUUGGAUGUGCCCAGCAGAGGUGCCUCACGACAUGGGAGUGGAUAUCUUGUCUUCCAGCUGGCCAAGUCCCCAAGCACAGCUUCCUGAUGUGAGAAACAGCCUGUGCCCUGAGGAACCUGCCCACAGGACAUUCCCUGAGGCCUCGGGAGAUGAGGGCACUCUAUGACGAGGAAGCCUGAUUUGUAGCCAGCUCUGCACAGUGCGAAUCCCAAGGUGCUGGCCUAAGGGCUCCGGGGCUCCUACAGUGGAAACAGUUUUCAGGUGACUAAACUAGAAGAUCGAAGUCACCAGAACCAUUUGGAGAGGCUGCUGAGCCCAUGGCUCCUGCUAGGAAUGGUGUGCACCUUGCAGUUUAUGAGGAGGAGCUGUGCUGUGUUGAGAAACUGCAGCUUGCUGCUGUCAUUAGUGCCAUGGGGAACUUGCUGGAGCCGUUCCUGACCUGUAAAUCCUGAACCAGAAGAUUGGGUAGAGCAUGACACCUCCCCCCCCCCAGGGGUUGGGAACAGAAGUGUUACCACCCACGCCUUCUACAACAGUGGACACACACCUAAGGUGAGAUAGCAUUUGGAAUGUGGCUGGGUAGCCAUGAGAAUAAAAUUGGAAUUGCAUUUAA
rnacentral:lncRNA from 1 species